ACGAACGCUGGCGGCGCGCCUAACACAUGCAAGUCGAACGGAGUUAUUUUCUUCACUCCGAGCUUUUUGCCGGUUAGCCGGAGCGGCAAUCGGUUUUGCCCAGCAUAAAAAGCAAAACCGAUUUAGGCUCAUAAAGUAAGACUAACACAGAGGGCAGAGAGUUGGGAGUGAAGAAAAUAACUUAGUGGCGAACGGGUGAGUAACGCGUGAGUAACCUGCCCUGGAGUGGGGGACAACAGUUGGAAACGACUGCUAAUACCGCAUAAGCCCACGAUCCGGCAUCGGAUUGAGGGAAAAGGAUUUAUUCGCUUCAGGAUGGACUCGCGUCCAAUUAGCUAGUUGGUGAGGUAACGGCCCACCAAGGCGACGAUUGGUAGCCGGACUGAGAGGUUGAACGGCCACAUUGGGACUGAGACACGGCCCAGACUCCUACGGGAGGCAGCAGUGGGGGAUAUUGCACAAUGGGGGAAACCCUGAUGCAGCGACGCCGCGUGGAGGAAGAAGGUUUUCGGAUUGUAAACUCCUGUCGUUAGGGACGAUAAUGACGGUACCUAACAAGAAAGCACCGGCUAACUACGUGCCAGCAGCCGCGGUAAAACGUAGGGUGCAAGCGUUGUCCGGAAUUACUGGGUGUAAAGGGAGCGCAGGCGGACCGGCAAGUUGGAAGUGAAAACUAUGGGCUCAACCCAUAAAUUGCUUUCAAAACUGCUGGCCUUGAGUAGUGCAGAGGUAGGUGGAAUUCCCGGUGUAGCGGUGGAAUGCGUAGAUAUCGGGAGGAACACCAGUGGCGAAGGCGACCUACUGGGCACCAACUGACGCUGAGGCUCGAAAGCAUGGGUAGCAAACAGGAUUAGAUACCCUGGUAGUCCAUGCCGUAAACGAUGAUUACUAGGUGUUGGAGGAUUGACCCCUUCAGUGCCGCAGUUAACACAAUAAGUAAUCCACCUGGGGAGUACGACCGCAAGGUUGAAACUCAAAGGAAUUGACGGGGGCCCGCACAAGCAGUGGAGUAUGUGGUUUAAUUCGAAGCAACGCGAAGAACCUUACCAGGUCUUGACAUCCGAUGCAUAGUGCAGAGAUGCAUGAAGUCCUUCGGGACAUCGAGACAGGUGGUGCAUGGUUGUCGUCAGCUCGUGUCGUGAGAUGUUGGGUUAAGUCCCGCAACGAGCGCAACCCUUAUUGCCAGUUACUACGCAAGAGGACUCUGGCGAGACUGCCGUUGACAAAACGGAGGAAGGUGGGGAUGACGUCAAAUCAUCAUGCCCUUUAUGACCUGGGCUACACACGUACUACAAUGGCUAUAACAAAGAGAAACGAGACAGUGAUGUGGAGCAAAACUCAAAAAAAUAGUCUCAGUUCGGAUUGAAGGCUGAAAUUCGCCUUCAUGAAGCUGGAAUUGCUAGUAAUGGCAGGUCAGCAUACUGCCGUGAAUACGUUCCCGGGCCUUGUACACACCGCCCGUCACACCAUGGGAGUCGGAAAUGCCCGAAGUCUGUGACUCAACCGCAAGGAGAGAGCAGCCGAAGGCAGGUCUGAUAACUGGGGUG
rnacentral:rRNA from 1 species